GUACCAGAGGCAGCCAAGCAUAGCGCAUGGAAGAGGACUGAGCGAACCAUGAAGGAGCUUAUUAAGGAUGUGCAAUUUACUUUGUGCCUCUACAGAGCAUCGACUCUGGAGUAUACUGCCUUUAACUCACUCAUUUAGAUACUAUUUACCGCAGGCCGGAUGGGUCCUUUAAUUGGACAGACAAAUAGAUUAGUUGUGGUUUUGUUUUGUUUGGGGGAUUUUUUUUUUUUUUUUGCUACAAAUAGAUUCUGUUUGUCAAUGCCUCCUACAGACUUCAGCAGGGAAUAUUUUAAAGCUUACUUUAAUCACCUCCUUUCAAAGUUGAAAUUCUUCUCAUCUCCUGUAAUGAACCCAAACUUUCAAAAUUUUCCAGACCAAAAAGUUGCAGAAAUUUCUAAGGAAGCCCAAAAGUCCCUGUGGGCUUGUCCUUGGAGAAGACAUCGACAGCUCAGCCUCCUGUUUUACCUCUUGGACCACUGUGUGCCCCUGAGACUGACUCCAUUUAGAUCUCUGUGAAAUGAAGGUGAUUCGACUUACCAGCAUCAAAGGAGCUGUUGCAAGAAUAUUAGCAAGGUCCUUCAAUACAGGAGGGACUGGAGACAUUGCUGGGAAUGUUUUAGCCCAGUGAUGGAAAAUACAUUUGUGUUAUUAUUUUAGAACAAGUGUCUUUUAUAAUGCUAAGGUUUGCUAUCAAAUAUAAUACAAAUUGCACAUCUGGUUGGAGGAAAUAAAUGCAAUAAUGCUUCAAAGACUAUCUGUCAGGCUUAAAAAGCAAAGAGAUGAGGAUUUAUUGGUGUUUUUAUUAUUAACAGAAAAGCCUUGGGAUCUCAAAAUGGAUCAGGGUUAUAGGUAAAAGUAGGUUCUCUUUUAUUCUUUGUUCACCUAACAGGCAAUUAACAUCAAGGUAAAAUAGGAUCAUCUGAAUGCUAAUGUGUUGACUGUGUGCAUUUGGAUAAUGCUAGUUUAAUCAAUACAUAGAUGAAAAAUAAAAAAGACUGUAGAGAAAAAUAUGCAUUACAGGCAUAUUCCUCAUCUUAAACAUUUCAGACAGUGUGCCAUUCUGGAGAUACUAUUUGCUUAAGAAACCCCAGUCUUAUCCUUUUCCAGUCGUGCAAGACCUUUGGGUAGCAACAGUGGGCUACUUCUGUGCAAAGGCUUAGAACGAAUGUCUAUUUGCAAUAGAAUGAAUGAUGAAGGAAAGAGGAACUUCUAAAAUAGAAGUCUUAUAAAAUUAUAAUUUGAGGGAGUUGGGGUAAAAAUAGCAUUUCCAAAUUAGCAAAUCGAAGGCAGCUUGAAGAUGUACAUGUAAGAUUUCCUGCCUGAGUUGCUGGUGACUUCAGCCUCUUUUCCAGAAGAACAUUGUUCAUGCAGUGCUGGUUAAAGCCUCGCAAGAGUCACUGUAAGGUGUUGGAGGGAGCUGUACAAAUCCUGGCCCCCUCUUUCUCCUAAAAAUUGUUUGCAAGAGCUUCUCUUCUGCUCAGUCAGGGCUGGGUUGAGUCUUUCAUGGAAUUUAAAUUAAAUUCUUACGGCAACCUCUUUAUUGAUUUUAUAACAAAAUCUGAUUCAUGCUGUGUUAAAGUGAAGACAUCCUUUGUUUUCUUGGAUUAUUGCUUAAUUACUAAAUAAAGAAAUAUUAAGUACAAAUUUCAUGACUCAUACGAUAUUUCAAAAUGACAUGU